GAUGAAGAACGCAGCGAAAUGCGAUACGUAAUGUGAAUUGCAAAUUCAGUGAAUCAUCGAGUCUUUGAACGCACAUUGCGCCCCCUGGUAUUCCGGGGGGCAUGCCUGUCCGAGCGUCAUUGCUGCCCUCAAGCACGGCUUGUGUGUUGGGCCCCGUCCUCCGAUCCCGGGGGACGGGCCCGAAAGGCAGCGGCGGCACCGCGUCCGGUCCUCGAGCGUAUGAGGCUUUGUCACCCGCUCUGUAGGCCCGGCCGGCGCUUGCCGAUCAACCCAAAUUUUUAUCCAGGUUGACCUCGGAUCAGGUAGGGAUACCCGCUGAACUUAAGCAUAUCAAUAAGCGGAGGA
rnacentral:misc_RNA from 1 species